GGGCUCGCAGGCGGUUUUUUAAGUCUGAUGUGAAAGCCCCCCGGCUCAACCGGGGAGGGUCAUUGGAAACUGGGAAACUUGAGUGCAGAAGAGGAGAGUGGAAUUCCACGUGUAGCGGUGAAAUGCGUAGAGAUGUGGAGGAACACCAGUGGCGAAGGCGACUCUCUGGUCUGUAACUGACGCUGAGGAGCGAAAGCGUGGGGAGCGAACAGGAUUAGAUACCCUGGUAGUCCACGCCGUAAACGAUGAGUGCUAAGUGUUAGGGGGUUUCCGCCCCUUAGUGCUGCAGCUAACGCAUUAAGCACUCCGCCUGGGGAGUACGGUCGCAAGACUGAAACUCAAAGGAAUUGACGGGGGCCCGCACAAGCGGUGGAGCAUGUGGUUUAAUUCGAAGCAACGCGAAGAACCUUACCAGGUCUUGACAUCCUCUGACAACCCUAGAGAUAGGGCUUUCCCUUCGGGGACAGAGUGACAGGUGGUGCAUGGUUGUCGUCAGCUCGUGUCGUGAGAUGUUGGGUUAAGUCCCGCAACGAGCGCAACCCUUGAUCUUAGUUGCCAGCAUUCAGUUGGGCACUCUAAGGUGACUGCCGGUGACAAACCGGAGGAAGGUGGGGAUGACGUCAAAUCAUCAUGCCCCUUAUGACCUGGGCUACACACGUGCUACAAUGGACAGAACAAAGGGCUGCAAGAC
rnacentral:rRNA from 1 species